UUGGAGGGCAAGUCUGGUGCCAGCAGCCGCGGUAAUUCCAGCUCCAAUAGCGUAUAUUAAAGUUGUUGCAGUUAAAAAGCUCGUAGUUGAAUUUCGGGAUCAAGGGAUCGGUCAUGCCUUGGUAUGUACUGGUCUUACUGGUUCUCACCUUCUAAAGAACCAUGAUGUCAUUCAUUUGAUGUUAUGGGGAAUUAGGACUGUUACCUUGAAAAAAUUAGAGUGUUUAAAGCAAGCUUACGCUUGAAUACAUUAGCAUGGAAUAAUGAAAUAGGACAUCAGAUUCUAUUUUGUUGGUUUCUAGGAUCGAUGUAAUGAUUAAUAGGGAUAGUUGGGGGCAUUAGUAUUCAAUUGUCAGAGGUGAAAUUCUUGGAUUUAUUGAAGACUAACUACUGCGAAAGCAUUUGCCAAGGAUGUUUUCAUUAAUCAAGAACGAAAGUUAGGGGAUCGAAGACGAUCAGAUACCGUCGUAGUCUUAACCAUAAACUAUGCCGACUAGGGAUCGGAUGAUGUUAAUUUUUUAAUGACUCAUUCGGCGCCUUACGGGAAAC
rnacentral:rRNA from 1 species